UUCCACUGUCGAGCCUCAGCCACGAUUACA
rnacentral:misc_RNA from 1 species